rnacentral:rRNA from 1 species
UCAGGCCUAACACAUGCAAGUCGAGCGAUGAAGCACCUUCGGGUGUGGAUUAGCGGCGAACGGGUGAGGAACACGUGAGGAAUCUGCCUUCCACUCUGGGAUAACUCCGGGAAACCGGGGCUAAUACCGGAUACUUUCAACUGGCGGCAUCGCCGGUUGAAGAAAGUUUUUCGGUGGAUGAUGACCUCGCGGCCUAUCAGCUUGUUGGUGAGGUAAUGGCUCACCAAGGCGACGACGGGUAGCCGGCCUGAGAGGGCGACCGGCCACACUGGGACUGAGACACGGCCCAGACUCCUACGGGAGGCAGCAGUGGGGAAUAUUGGGCAAUGGAGGAAACUCUGACCCAGCGACGCCGCGUGAGGGAUGAAGGCCUUCGGGUUGUAAACCUCUUCAGCAGGGAAUAAGCGAAAGGAA